rnacentral:rRNA from 1 species
GUUGCAGUUAAAGCUCGUAGUUGACCUUGGGCCUGGCUGGCCGGUCCGCCUCACCGCGUGCACUGGUCCGGCCGGGCCUUUCCUUCUGGGGAGCCGCAUGCCCUUCACUGGGUGUGUCGGGGAACCAGGACUUUUACUUUGAAAAAAUUAGAGUGUUCAAAGCAGGCCUAUGCUCGAAUACAUUAGCAUGGAAUAAUAGAAUAGGACGUGUGGUUCUAUUUUGUUGGUUUCUAGGACCGCCGUAAUGAUUAAUAGGGAUAGUCGGGGGCAUCAGUAUUCAAUUGUCAGAGGUGAAAUUCUUGGAUUUAUUGAAGACUAACUACUGCGAAAGCAUUCAUCAAGGAUGUUUUCAUUAAUCAGUGAACGAAAGUUAGGGGAUCGAAGACGAUCAGAUACCGUCGUAGUCUUAACCAUAAACUAUGCCGACUAGGGAUCGGGCGAUGUUACUAUAUUGACUCGCUCGGCACCUUUCGAGAAAUCAAAGUUUUUGGGUUCUGGGGGGAGUAUGGUCGCAAGGCUGAAACUUAAAGAAAUUGACGGAAGGGCACCACCAGGAGUGGAGCCUGCGGCUUAAUUUGACUCAACACGGGGAAACUCACCAGGUCCAGAUACACGUAGGAUUGACAGAUUGAGAGCUCUUUCUUGAUUGUGUAGUUGGUGGUGCAUGGCCGUUCUUAGUUGGUGGAGUGAUUUGUCUGCUUAAUUGCGAUAACGAACGAGACCUUCAUCGUUAAAUAGCCCGGCUCGCUUUGGCGUGUCGCUGGCUUCUUAGCGAGACUUUUGGCUUAGCCAAAGGAGUUGGAGGCAUAACAGGUCUGUGAUGCCCUUAGAUGUCUGGCUGCACGCGCGCUACACUGAC